ensembl:lncRNA
AGCAAGUCUCUAAAUUGCAGAUGGUUCUCAGGGGAAAAAAAUAGUUAUGAGUGCAUUCAUGACAUUAAAAUCAGUACAUUUAAUUCAAUUUCAUCUUAAUAUUAAUUCAUAACAUCUAAAGUAGUAGUUCCUACUGAAGAUAUUCAUAUGAUCCAGGAUUAGUGGGGCAAAUGAGAUCUGGCAGUUCCAAACAGGCUGCAGCAUGAUUACCACGUGUAAUUAUGCAGAUUGGGUAAUCACGUGCUAAUUGCAACGCCCAUUUUGACACGCGGGAUCUGGAACGAGGGUCAGGUGUGUGAUCAGCUUUAUUUGGUUUGGGGUUCUUUGUCGGUGGGCAGAGUCCAGGAUUGGGUCGGGGUGAAAUGCAGCAAAACUGAGGAGCUGUGGAGCGGCUGGAGCAGAAUUCCAUGGGGAGCGUGCUGGGAUGAGCGUCGCAAAGCACGGAAUGCUCUGGUCAGGCUGCUGCUGCUGCCCCAGGCUCUCCUUCCUGAAGGAUCCAAAGGGGAAGCCCCUCCACCCAGAACUCCUGAAAUCUCCCAGCUUUGCACAGCAGGCCGGGACAUUCCCUGCCCCUGGGACGGCUCCUGCUCCAGCUGGUGGCUCUGGCUUCUCCAGGGAACACUCCCAGGCUCAGGAUCCUGACACCACGGGUCACAGAUGGAACCUGAGGAUGCUGCCAACAACAAGCGAGCGACGAGCGCUGGGGCAGAGCAAACCCAAAUCCAAAUUCAGCAGGGUGGCCAGCUGUGCUCCAGGACUGAAAUGGGGCUGGGUCCCUCCUGACUCGUGCUGACACGUUCCAG